GGAGACUGUCUGCCUUCCUGAAGAUGAAGUAGAAAAGUAUCUUGUUGAAGAGAAGGAUGGAAAUAACCUAUUAAAGGUGUCUAUGAAACAUCCAUUGAAUGUCAGUGGCAAGGAAGGAUCCCAGAUUCAGAUAUAUUUCAGUGCUGCACUGAACAUCGCUGAAGCAAUCAAAAAUGUGUAUGGAGCCAUAAAAGCCAAAGAAUUUGUUGGAAAGUGUGGGAGUUCUGUAGCGAAAACCACAGUUCGAAUUAUCUUUGAUGAAGAUGGCUCACAGCUUUUAGUUCCGGAAAGCCAAGUCUCCUUAACACCCAAGAGUUACAAAAGGUCAUCAGGGAGGGAAAAGAAAAGAAUCAUUCAGUAUUCUCAAGAAUCAGUCGUGCCUCCAGAGAGGACUAGAGCCAGCCUGGAGCAAACCCCACAGCUUCCU